rnacentral:rRNA from 1 species
CCUACGGGUGGCUGCAGUGGGGGAUAUUGCACAAUGGGGGAAACCCUGAUGCAGCGACGCCGCGUGGGUGAAGAAGCGCCUCGGCGCGUAAAGCCCUGUCAGCAGGGAAGAAAAUGACGGUACCUGAAGAAGAAGCCCCGGCUAACUACGUGCCAGAAGCCGCGGGAAUACGUAGGGGGCAAGCGUUAUCCGGAUUUACUGGGUGUAAAGGGGGCGCAGACGGCGAUGCAAGCCAGGAGUGAAAGCCCGGGGCCCAACCCCGGGACGGCUCUUGAAACUGCGUGGCUAGAGGGCAGGAGGGGCAGGCGGAAUUCCUGGUGUAGCGGUGAAAUGCGUAGAUAUCGGGAGGAACACCGGUGGCGAAGGCGGCCUGCUGGACUGCAACUGACGUUGAGGCCCGAAAGCGUGGGGAGCGAACAGGAUUAGAUACCCCGGUAGUC